GGGGUUGUAACUCAGAGGUAGAACGCAUGCCUAGCAUGCAUGAGGCACUGGGUUCAAUCCUCAGCACUACA
rnacentral:tRNA from 1 species